rnacentral:lncRNA from 1 species
CUAGCUAACUACAUCAUGAUCACUCCAUCCCGUAAUCCCCAUAAUCAUAUGUCAUCACCUGCAAAAUGUAAAUAGUAGGAGUGAGCUAACAGCUCAGUAGGCAACAUCAUGCAGUAAAGUCAUCAUAUAACAUGUCAUGAUGCAUAUGAAAAGCAACUAAAACUCAUAAAUCCAAAAAUCCACACGAUAACCCGUAAACCCAAUCCAAGACUCAAAAUAACUCAACCGCAUGACUAUGGCCACAUCACCCAGUGGCAUGGUUACACCGAAGUGCCAAUACAACUCUCCGAAGAGCCGCUCCACUGAGCCAAUGCACCACUGUGCCGCACCCCCUGGUGCCAAUCUCACGCUCCACCGAGUUGCUCCCAAGAGCAAAAUGCACCCCUGUGCCGCCACUAUUCUAUCACCGGUGGUCGCGGUGUCGGAACUAGUUCCUCAGUACAAGUCGACAGGGCCAACGUAUCAUCCCAUUGGCGGGGCCUAGACUAUAGUCACGUGGAUUUUAAAAAAAUCAAUAAAUCAAUUUUCUAUAUCAAAGUCAUAAUCAUACUCCCAGCAGUAAAGCACAUAACAAUUUAUAAAAUUAAAUAUUUAAUUCUAAUUCUAACACAUAUUGCCAAUAAUAACACAUAACAUCAACAUAUGCAAGAUACAUGUUAAAAUUCUACUUUAAAGCAACGGUCACCUACCUGGGUUCGCUUAAAAAUUCCUACCACAGAUAUCACGAACCCCUGAUUAAAACAUAAACAUUAAUUAUUUAAUUAACUAAGAAACAUAAUUUAAACAAUUUUUCAAACCCUUAAACUCCUAAGUUCAUAGAUCCAAGAAUGUGCCCCUAAGAUCAAACAUAGACCCUAAAAUCAGAAUCCUUUAAACCCAAGUCAAUUGUGGCCCAAAACAGAUUAGGCCUAAUUGAACCAAACCGGAUAACAUGUCCAGAUCAGAUUUCGGGCCCAACCCAAACCAGCCCACAGAUCCAAUCAGGCCCAACUCAGCCCAAAAACAGUUCCCUAGCCCAACCCAAACCGGGUCUGAUCAGACCAGAUUAGAUUAAAUCUUGACGAACCAGAUUACACUCAAGUCAGACUAACCCAAAUUUCUGACUCAGAUCCAAAUCAUAACCAAAACCCAUUCACUCAAACCCAGAUCAAACC